rnacentral:rRNA from 1 species
UACGUAGGGUGCGAGCGUUAAUAGGAUGUACUGGGCGUAAAGCGUGCGCAGGCGGCCCGUUAAGACAGGUGUGAAAUCCCUGGGCUCAACCUAGGAAUUGCGCUUGUGACUGGCGGGCUCGAGUACGGUAGAGGGGGGUGGAAUUCCUGGUGUAGCAGUGAAAUGCGUAGAGAUCAGGAGGAACACCGAUGGCGAAGGCAGCCCCCUGGGCCUGUACUGACGCUCAUGCACGAAAGCGUGGGGAGCAAACAGG